AGCAGCACAGUGUCGUUAUAAUGACGUCAAUUAUUGGACAUUAUUAGUCGGCGACGUCGUAGACCAAUAAGCGACGUCCAUAUGACGUGACAUUUCAGAUGUCAUUUUGACGUCGUCUAGAGACGUCUUUCGUACGUUUGUUUUCGGUCGUUUUAAGUGCUUUUUAAUCAACUAUAAAAAAAAUUAGAACGAAAGUUUAUUACAAAAACUAAGCCCUAUACGUGCUUUAUAAAAAAUUGUACAUUUUAAAUUGUUGUUUACCUAAAAUUUGGAUAUAAAUAUAAAUUCAUUAAUUAGCAAUGAAAAUACUAAACUGACGUUUUAAGUGGAAAUGCAAUUUGAAUUUAAAGAUGAAGUGAGAAUGUUGUAAUUAACAAUUAUUUAACUAUUUUAUUAGUAGGAAACAAUUAUUUUUAGCAUCGAUUCCUGUCGAGGCUGUCGACCAAGAUUUAAUUUUGGCGCGAUUUUAAUCGAAAUGCCACGAUACGAUACGAGACGUGCAGGCGCAUGCGUGCUGGACUGCUGGUGUGAACGCGUGUGCGCGUAAUGGCGGACGGCAGCAAAAAGUUGUUUGACGGUUUGUCGGCAUAUCUAUCGACUUUUGGAGGGAGAGAUUUUACUGGACAUACAAACCGCAUUUUAAAUUUUUUGUUCAUUUAUUCUCUUGCAACUAAUUGGAAUUUUUGUGGCAAACGAGGUGAGAAAAAGGCUUUUAAAAACUUAAACGUAAAGGAUGUGAUUAUUGGUGCUGUAAGAAAAAGCUAACCUCUAGUCAGUCAGAAAGAAAUAGAAGAUACCAUCAAGGUGUGGUUGAAACAUGCACCAGAGAAAUUGAAAAAGCAGCAGCAUGGCAACCCGUAAGAAAAAAAGUGUUGUUAGUCAAAGACAACUCUACAGAAGGGUGGCAGAAGCAAAUUUAGCACCUGUGAGUCAGAAUUGUUAUAAUACAUCUUUAAUAGUUAAUAAUGAUUCCAAUGAAUCAUCAAAUUCCGUUUUUUUUUGCUGGUUCAAUGUGUGAAAGUGAAAAUGACACCUGUUCCUCAAGAGAUUUAGAUUUUAAUGUAAACUCGCCUAAUGAAAAUUUGCUCUUCAAUGAUGCGACGUUAUACAACCAUUUGACUUCCUAUUCCAGUAACGUGCCCCCUAACGAUUUAUUUUCUAAUGAACCGCCGCCUAGCGAUUUGCAUUCGAAAUUGUCAAACUGGGCAGCUUCAAGGUACGUUCGACGUACAGUAGUUACUCAUCUCUUGCAUUAUCUCCACCAUUUAAAAUCGUUAGUUCAGUCUCCGAAUAAACCGUUACAACAGAUUAAUAGACACUUAAAAGAAAUUGAAAUGACAGUGUACGAAAAACAUGACUCUACUUCACCUGAUGAUGAACACUUCUGUAAAUGUGAAUUGUCCCAUUUCUUAGGACCAACGCCAAAUUUCUCUUGCAAGCAGUAUAAAAAGCUUCAUUAUAAAGAUUUUAUUUUUUCUAUUGCAUCAUAUUCAGAAGCAAAUUGUUUUUGUCUUACCUUAGAAGGACUGGUUUUCAAAAUAGAAAAUGUAGUGGAUAAUAAUGGAGCAGUUUUUAUAUUAGGUAGGAGGUUUCAGGAUUACCGUUCAUUUUACAAAUACCCUGUCGACUCAAAAGAAUUUAUCCAAAAUUUAUCAGAGUAUAUCGAGUUAUUGCACUGCCACAAAGUUUUUUCGAAAUGUAUUGUUUUUCCUUUCAAGCAGGAAUGGUUGUCAUUUUCAUUAUUGCAUCAUUAGUAAUUCCUUAUUUCAACUUUUAUGUUCUAUAAGUGUAAUAGUAUGUAGUUUUUUAAGAUUUUGUAAUAAACUGGUAUUAAUUUGAA